rnacentral:rRNA from 1 species
CAGCCGCCGCGGUAAUACGAAGGGGGCUAGCGUUGCUCGGAAUCACUGGGCGUAAAGGGUGCGUAGGUGGAUUUUUAAGUCAGGGGUGAAAUCCUGGAGCUCAACUCCAGAACUGCCUUUGAUACUGGGAAUCUUGAGUUCGGGAGAGGUGAGUGGAACUGCGAGUGUAGAGGUGAAAUUCGUAGAUAUUCGCAAGAACACCAGUGGCGAAGGCGGCUCACUGGCCCGAUACUGACACUGAGGCACGAAAGCGUGGGGAGCAAACAGG